rnacentral:rRNA from 1 species
AAUUAUGGACAAUGGGGGAAACCCUGAUCCAGCCAUCCCGCGUGUGCGAUGAAGGCCUUCGGGUUGUAAAGCACUUUUGGCAGGGAAGAAAAGGUUCUGGCUACUACCCGGAACUGCUGACGGUACCUGCCGAAUAAGCACCGGCAAACUACGUGCCAGCCGCCGCGGUCGUACGGAGGGUGCAAGCGGUAAUCGGAAUCACUGGGCGUAAAGCUUGUGUAGGCGGUUCGGAAAGAAAGAUGUGAAAUCCCAGGGCUCAACCUUGGAACUGCAUUUUUAACUGCCGAGCUAGAGUAUGUCAGAGGGGGGUAGAAUUCCACGUGUAGCAGUUAAAUGCGUAGAUAUGUGGAGGAAUACCGAUGGCGAAGGCAGCCCCCUGGGAUAAUACUGACUCUCAGACACGAAAGCGUGGGGAGCAAACAGG